AACGAACGCUGGCGGCAUGCCUAACACAUGCAAGUCGAACGAGACCUUCGGGUCUAGUGGCGCACGGGUGCGUAACGCGUGGGAACCUGCCCUUAGGUUCGGAAUAACUCCCCGAAGGGGGUGCUAAUACCGGAUAAUGUCUUCGGACCAAAGAUUUAUCGCCUUUGGAUGGGCCCGCGUUGGAUUAGCUAGUUGGUAGGGUAAAAGCCUACCAAGGCGACGAUCCAUAGCUGGUCUGAGAGGAUGAUCAGCCACACUGGGACUGAGACACGGCCCAGACUCCUACGGGAGGAAGCAGUGGGGAAUAUUGGACAAUGGGCGAAAGCCUGAUCCAGCAAUGCCGCGUGAGUGAUGAAGGCCUUAGGGUUGUAAAGCUCUUUUACCCGGGAUGAUAAUGACAGUACCGGGAGAAUAAGCUCCGGCUAACUCCGUG
rnacentral:rRNA from 1 species